rnacentral:rRNA from 1 species
CAUGCAGUCGAACGAUGACCACUUCCGUGGGGAUUAUUGGCAAAGGGGUGAGUAAGCGUGGGCUUCUGCCCUGCCCUCUGGGACAAGCCCUGGAAACGGGGUCUAAUACCGGAUAUUGACCUUCACGGGCAUCUGUGAGGUUCAAAAGCUCCGGCGGUGCACGAUGAGCCCGCGGCCUAUCAUCUUGUUGGUGAGGUAAUGGCUCACCAAGGCGACGACGGGUAGCCGGCCUGAGAGGGCGACCGGCCACACUGGGACUGAGACACGGCCCAGACUCCUACGGGAGGCAGCAGUGGGGAAUAUUGCACAAUGGGCGAAAGCCUGAUGCACCGACGCCGCGUGAGGGAUGACGGCCUUCGGGUUGUAAACCUCUUUCAUCAUGGAAGAAGCGAAAGUGACGGUACCUGCAUAAGAAGCGCCGGCUAACUACAUGCCAACACCCGCGGUAAUACCUAGGGCGCAGGCGUUGUCCGGAAUUAUUGGGCGUAAAGAGCUCGUAUGCGGCUUGUCACGUCGGUUGUGAAAGCCCGGGGCUUAACCACGGGUCUGCACUCGAUACGGGCAGGCUAUAGUUCUGUAGGGGAGAUCGGAAUUCCUGGUGUAACGGUGAAAUGCUCACAUAUC